GAUGAACGCUAGCUACAGGCUUAACACAUGCAAGUCGAGGGGAAACGACAUCGAAAGCUUGCUUUCGAUGGGCGUCGACCGGCGCACGGGUGAGUAACGCGUAUCCAACCUGCCCACCACUUGGGGAUAACCUUGCGAAAGUAAGACUAAUACCCAAUGAUAUCUCUAGAAGACAUCUGAAAGAGAUUAAAGAUUCAUCGGUGAUGGAUGGGGAUGCGUCUGAUUAGCUUGUUGGCGGGGUAACGGCCCACCAAGGCAACGAUCAGUAGGGGUUCUGAGAGGAAGGUCCCCCCACAUUGGAACUGAGACACGGUCCAAAACUCCUACGGGAGGCAGCAGUGAGGAAUAUUGGUCAAUGGGCAGAGCCUGAACCAGCCAAGUAGCGUGCAGGACGACGGCCCUAUGGGUUGUAAACUGCUUUUAUAAGGGAAUAAAGUGGGUCACGUGUGACUUUUUGCAUGUACCUUAUGAAUAAGGACCGGCUAAUUCCGUGCCAGCAGCCG
rnacentral:rRNA from 1 species